GAAAAGAUAAAGAGUGCAUAAACAUGUAGUAAUUGAAUACUGCACACACAAGCACUACACUAAAAUAAUCAUAGUAAUGUUCUCACAUUGUUUGGACUCGUUUUAUUUCCGUCUUAAAUUCCAGGUGGAACCUCCGACGAGGAGUGGUGAUACGAAUGGUCCUCGGGGGAACCAGUACAUCCAACAAGUCAACUGUGUUAGCCUGUGUAUAUUUCAUUAUGAUCAUUAUGAGUCAAGCUAAAGCACUCAGGCAAAGAUUGACCAAGAAAUCGUGUCACAUUGGUAUGAAGAAGCUCAUCUCGAUUAUAGAAGCAUCUAAAAAGGGAGAUAGUUAUGAUGUGGUCAUGAUCGUAAGGAGGUUAGAAAUUGAAGGACACCUCACCAACAAAACAUCUCUGAAUUAACUUUAUUUUAUUUUAGUUUUGCGGUCUAUACAUUUUAGCUGGAUUUCCUAUAAUUAUUAUUGUUAUUUACGCACGUAUAAUUGAGUGAUUUGUGGGUGUGGUUACAAUUUUAUAAAAGGUGUGGUUUUAUCACAUUGUAUUAAAGUGCAUGGGAUUGGUAUUGAAAUAACGACAAAAUCAGUUAAACACAACAGUAAUCAGUUAAACACUGAGCUCACUGUAAUUAAACGCAUAUAAUUGGAUGCAUUGAUUUGAUUCCUUAUAUAGAGUUGGCAUUAUGGUCGUCAAUGGUGUGAGCGACUGGUUCCAGCUAGCCUGUACCGCU